GCCACUAAUUUAACCCAACUAACCAUACAACCUACAUACAAACAAAACAAACCAUUUGACAAAAAAAGUAGAAGCGAUCGAACCUUAAUACAGGAGUUAUAAAUACUAGUACCACAAGGGAACAAUGAAAAAAUAAUGAAAACGCAAGCAAAAUACAGCAAAGAUUAACCCAUGUACCUAUUGCAUCACGAUCUAGCAAGCACUAAACAAACAAGCAGGCACAAAGUUUGUUACCCCGAACUCAAGUGAGCUAUUCUUAGACAACUAAAGACUCAACUCAUCCCUGUAGCAAAAGGGCGAGAAGAUCUUAGAAUAGAGGUGAAAAGCCAACCGAACUUGUUGAUAGCUGGUUGCCUGAGAAAUGAAUAUAAGUUCAACUUUAAACUUCCCACACAUUAACCUAGACAUACCUUAGUUUAAAAUAUAUUCAACGGGGGUUCAGCCCCAUUGAACAGGAAUACAGACCAAAAUAGAGAGAAACUUUCCAAACAAAACAAGUAGGCCUUAAAACAGCCACCUAUAAAAAAAGCGUCACAGCAUAAAUAUUUCAAAUACCCAACCAACCAAAAAACUCCCAUAUUACCAACAGGCCAUCCUAUAAUUAUAUAAGAAAAAUCAUGCUACAACUAGUAACAAGAACACAUCUCCAUGCACAAUCGUAAAUCAGACAUAGAAAAACUACUGAAAAUUAACAAACCCUAUAAAACCCAUUAAUAAACUAUAAACCAAAUUGUUACCCCAACACAGGCGUGCAAAAAGAAAGAUUAAAAGCUGAAAAAGGAACUCGGCAAAAAAUUACCUCAACUGUUUACCAAAAACAUAGCCUUUAGCACUACAAGUAUUAAAGGUAAUGCCUGCCCAGUGAAACAUUUUAACGGCCGCGGUAUUCUAACCGUGCAAAGGUAGCGUAAUCACUUGUCUUCUAAAUAAAGACCAGUAUGAAUGGCUAAAUGAAGGUAAACCUGUCUCUUCAAGCUAAUCAGUGAAACUGAUCUCCCAGUACAAAAGCUGGGAUAUACACAUAAGACGAGAAGACCCUGUGGAGCUUCAAAUUUAAACCAAAAUAACCACACCAAUAACCCCAUGGUCUACAAUUUUAAGUUGGGGCGACUUCGGAAAAAACCAAAACUUCCGAGAACAUAGGUAAACCACUUUAAUUAAGGUUAACCAACCAAAACACAUAUAGACCCAGUACCACUGAGCAACGAACCAAGUUACCCCAGGGAUAACAGCGCUAUCUUCUUUAAGAGUCCCUAUCAACAAGAAGGUUUACGACCUCGAUGUUGGAUCAGGACACCCAAAUAGUGCAGCCGCUAUUAAAGGUUCGUUUGUUCAACGAUUAACAGUCCUACGUGAUCUGAGUUCAGACCGGAGCAAUCCAGGUCGGUUUCUAUCUAUACAGUUGUUCUCUUCAGUACGAAAGGACCAAGAAAACAGGACCCAUGCAAACUGCACGUCCUAAACAAAAAAUUAAACUAAAAUAAAAUUUUCAAUAACCAAACCACCCCAAGAUACAGGGGUUA
rnacentral:rRNA from 1 species